rnacentral:lncRNA from 1 species
AUAUAUAUACCAGAAGAACUACUCUAGGGAACAUGACUUCCAUCAUUUCUACCAUCUCUCUCUAGUUGAAAAAAGGUACAAUUACAUUGGGUGACACAUCUGCAGCAGCUUUGGCAACCAUAUACUUCCUCUGCUCUGGGUUGUCAAUACCACGUGAUUCAUAAUCUUCAAUAGCUUUUUCUUCAACCUUGUCUUUUUUUUUUUAGGUACUUGUCAUGUUCUUCUCUAUUAUGUCUUUAUAUAGUUUCAUCAAAUGUUGAAAGACAAACUUGUAGUAAUAAAUGAAUCCCUUACCGUUCUUGAGAUACUCCUCUCCAUAUUCAUUGUAGACAGCUUUAAAGAAUUUGGUUGCUUCUACCUUUCGUUUAACGACAUCAUCUAUAUUUGUUUCUAUGCUCAAAGUCAGAAUAUACUCUUCAAGGUCUGCCCAUAUUCCUUGGUAGGUUUUUGCUCUCUGUGAAAACGUAGGAUAUGCAUGACACAUGAUCUCCCUUAUUUCUUCGUCUGUUAACAGUGAAGGAUGAUAGAAUAAUUACCGAAAUUUGUUCCUACAUGCAAGUGAGAAUGUAAAAACCAAGAUAAUAUGUUGAACUAUUAUUGUUUGUUUACGUUUUUUUAUAUUACUAAACACUUUAAAUGAAAGUGAUUAUGAUUACUGAAAUAUGCAAUUGUUAUGGCAAUUAACGUUCCUAGCUGACUCAGUUAUGUUUUGUUUACUUGCACAUUGUUAUCCACUCUUACUAGCAUCUGUAGGAAAUAUUUGAAUUCUCCAGGAUAAUCGUGUUCCUCUGGAUGCAGCUUCUCGGCCAAGCGAUAUAGGGAUUCUGGGUACAGAGUUUGAUACUCUUCAUGGUUCAAUGUGUACCUUCCUCCGGCAUUUACAACUAUGUUGUCAACGGUUAGUUUGCCUAUUAAGUUUCCAUUUCUCAUCAUGUUGAUACAGUUCCAAAUGGUGUCCUUGCAUUUGUUUUUAAGAGAUCAAAUAACACAGUCAACCAAAAUUGAUUGCAUAAUAUGUAGAUAAAUUAUGAGACUUGUAAUAGGGUAAUAGAAUGAUAUGUUAAUUCUUUAUUAUCUUAUAUAUGUUAUAGGUUCUUGUCCAGAGUGUAGUUUUUUUGUUUAUUGUUUUUGUUUUGUUGAUUUGGUGCAGAUGGUGGUGGUGAUGAUGAGAGAUGUGUGUGGGGUUGGACACAAGAAGGUCUCUUGAGGUUCUGCAGAACUCGUCUCUGAUUUUUGCAGAGGAGAGGAUUCCUAUGAAGGACCCUAUUGGCGAGUUUCAUAAGUACACUGGUGGUUAGAAAAUAUCAGCAAUGAUCAUGACUGGGCUGUGAGUUAUUGUAAUCUUUAUAUUAGUUGCAACAAUCAUUUGUUUAGUGCUAAUUUCAAUUUCACAUUAUUAAGUACUAGAUUGUGUAAUUAAAAAUCUUCCAGUUCUCAUCAACAAAGGCAUGCGUACAUUAUGAUUAUACAUCAAUUAUGUAAGGCGACCGUGAUUGUAAUGCACGUAUCUUCUGUAUGAUAUUGAAAACUACAACUAUUAUCCAACUUUGUCUUCUAUCUUCUGCCUAAGAUUGUAAUGCAAGUCUACUUUUUGUCUACAACAACAGCUAUCAAUGUAAUACGCAAUGAAAUGUGUAAUGCAAUAAGCAGCUAUCAAUGUAAUGCGCAAUGUAAAACAAAUUGUUUUGGAAGAAAGAACAAACAACAGCAACCGAAAGAUUGCAAGAAGAAGUUGGUUUGGUAGUGAUGCACAAUUUACAUCUAUCAAGGUAAUGCACAAUUAAUGUAAGGCCUCGAAAGCUAGUUGCAUACCUGUAUAGUUGGUACACAGCCCUUGGAACCUUGUUCUUCGCAACAAGGUUUUCUGCAAAUGAAUCAUAAUUCUCCGGAUGGGGAAUUAUGUCCUCUCUCAAUGUCAACUGUUUCAUAGAGUAAAUUAAAUCAAUACGUGAAGGUGUUAUAAUGAUAAUGAGAUCAUCUUGGUUAUUAGGAACCUACCAGUUCCCCUGUAAAGACAGGGCAUCCAUACUUGAAUAAAAGGUUCAGACAUGACAUUUUGCAAUAAAUUUUAAUGGGCAGCAUUUCUUGAUUGAUGAUAUGCUCAAUAGUUUUUAACUUCUUUGAAAAAAUAAACAUUACAAUAUUUCAUUCAGUUUUUUUGGAGUUCUGAAGCUUUAAUUAACAGACCAAAAGUGCCUUAUGUCUGAAGUGUGGUUGUUGCUCUCAAAUUGCUACUAGCCUCCUACUGCCCUUCAUCCAAUUGCUACUAGCGUAAUGGAAUUCUCAUCUUCGUUAAAUUCAAGAAAAAAAUUCAGUUUAUUACCCUGAACUUUAGGUCUAAAAUCAGUUUGAUACCUCAUCUUUUUUUUUAAUCAAUUUCAUACCUAAACUUUCAAAAUGACAUCAAUCUCGACCAAAAUGACUAAAAUAGCCCUGAUUAAUCUUUUUACCCUCUCUCUCCCUGCCUCCAAAUCCACCACAUGGCCGGCGCCGGCAUCCACCCCUACCACCAGCAAUGGGCCCCGGCGGCAGCCCCUCCUCCUCCCCCGGCCGUCGCCGCUGCCAUUCUUAACUCUGAGUGGGUAAAAAGAUUAACCAGGGCUAUUUUAGUCAUUUUAGUCGAGAUUGAUGUCAUUUUGAAAGUUUAGGUAUGAAACUGAUUAAAAAAAAGAUGAGGUAUCAAAAUGAUUUUAGACCUAAAGUUCAGGAUAGUAAAAUGAAAUUAUCUCUAAAUUCAAUGCUUUGCUCAAUCAUGAAUAUAUAUACCAAAAGAACUACUCUUGGGAACAUGACUUCUAUCAUUUCUACUAUCUCUCUCCGGUUGAAAAAAUAUACAAUUACAUUGGGUGGCACAUCUGCAGCAGCUUUGGCAACCAUAUAUUUCCUCUGCUCCGGGUUGUCAAUACCACAUGAUUCAUAAUCUUCAAUAACUUUUUCUUCAACCUUGUCUCUUUUUUUUAGGUACUUGUCACGUUCUUCUCUAUUAUGUCUUUAUAUAGUUUCAUUCAAAUGUUGAAAGACAAACCUGUAGUAAUAGAUGAAUCUCUUACCGUUCUUGAGGUACUCCUCUCCAUAUUCAUUGUAGACAACUUUGAAGAAUUUGGCUGCUUCUAUCUUUCGUUUAACGACAUCAUCUAUAUUUGUUUCUAUGCUCAAGGUCGGAAUAUAUUAUUCAAGGUCUGCCCAUAUUCCUUGGUAGGUUUUUGCUCUCUGUGAAAACAUAGGAUAUGCAUGGCACAUGAUCUCCUAUAUUUCUUUGUCUGUUAAUAGUGAAGGAUGAUAGUAUAAUUGCCGAAGUUUGUUCCUGCAUGCAAGUGAGAAUGUGAAAGCCAAGAUAAUAUAUUGAACUAUUAUUGUUUGUUUACGCUUUUUUAUAUUAUGCUAAACACUUUAAAUGAAAGUGAUUAUGAUUAUUGAAAUAUGCAAUUGUUAUGGCAAUUAACGUUCCUAGCUGACUCAGUUAUGUUUUGUUUACUUACACAUCGUUAUCCACUCUUACUAGCAUCUGUAGGAAAUGUUUGAAUUCUCCAGGAUAAUCGUGUUCCUCUGGAUGCAGCUUCUCGACCAAGCGAUAUAGGGAUUCUGGGUACAGAGUUUGAUACUCUUCAUGGUUCAAUGUGUACCUUCCUCCGGCAUUUACAACUAUAUUGUCAACG